UACGUAGGCAGCGAGCGUUGUUCGGAGUUACUGGGCGUAAAGGGUGUGUAGGCGGUUGUUUAAGUUUGGUGUGAAAUCUCCCGGCUCAACUGGGAGGGUGCGCCGAAUACUGAAUGACUUCGAGUGCGGGAGAGGAGAGUGGAAUUCCUGGUGUAGCGGUGAAAUGCGUAGAUAUCGGAAGGAACACCUGUGGCGAAAGCGGCUCACUGGACCAUUACUGACGCUGAUGCACGAAAGCUAGGGGAGCAAACAGG
rnacentral:rRNA from 1 species